GAAAAAGCAAUGACCGUGUAAGUAGAGAAUUAUUUUCCGACAGAGAGAGAAGAUCGCAGGCUGGAAGUCUUCUUCGGUUCAGAUAAGGAUUGAAUUUCCCACGUAAGCUGUUUCUUUGAAACGGAGAUAAUCUGUAAGUAAGAGAAAACGUAACCUGCACGUUACGCAGAAGAUAAGUGCCUGCCGCAAGUAAUAUGCUGCAGGAAUCAGGGUGGUACCACGGGUAGAACCUCGUCCCUAGG
rnacentral:ncRNA from 1 species